GUCCACGCCGUAAACGAUGAGUGCUUGGUGUAGCGGGUAUCGACCCCUGCUGUGCCGACGUCAACACAUUAAGCACUCCGCCUGGGGAGUACGGUCGCAAGACUGAAACUCAAAGGAAUUGACGGGGGCCCCGCACAAGCGGUGGAGCAUGUGGUUUAAUUCGAAGCAACGCGCAGAACCUUACCUGGGUUUGAACUGCACGGGAAAAGCUCAGAGAUGAGCUCCCCUCUUCGGAGGUCCGUGCAGAGGUGCUGCAUGGCUGUCGU
rnacentral:rRNA from 1 species